rnacentral:lncRNA from 1 species
AUGGUAGUAAAAUGGCGGCAGAGAGCUAGUAAUGUGUCUGCAAUUGGUGGGUUCUUGGUCGCACUGACUUCAAGAAUGAAGCCGCGGACCCUCACGGUAUGACAGCUCCUCUCCCAACAGCUCUACUUUCUACAUCUACUCUCUACCACCACAAAACUUCUUUCAGUUCCAUGAAAGGGCCAUGUUUUUCUGGUCUCUUGGCCUAGGAGCAUGUUGUUCUUCUGCCAGCAACCUUCUUCAACCAUCUCCACAGGAUGACUCCUCUAUUGGAUACUUCCAUGAAAAGUCCAGGCCUGGGUUAUGUACCCUUCCCAAAGUGCACCCCAGACACCCAACAGUUUUUCCAGCCCAGACUCACCACACUGUGUGGUAAUUUCCUGAUCACUCAGUUGUGCUCCCCACAGACUAUAAGCUCUAUGAGGGCAGGGGCCACAGUUUGCUUGUUCACUACUAUAUGCUCAGUACCUGGUAAAUAUUAGUUGACUGAAGAAUGACUAUGUGGUAAUCUAUUCCAUUGGUGGCCUCCAGUGAACCAUGUCUUCUGGUAUUUACAUCUUGUGUGGUCCCCUCCAUUAAAUUUGGGCUUUAACCAACAGAAUGCUGCAGAAGCGACACCCUGCCACUUGUGCUUUUGUGAUCCUAGCCACCAGUAAGAAGCCCUGUGACCUUGCUGAGACCCUGAAGAGACCACAUAGAGAGGCCACUUGAAGGGCAAGGGGUCCUGACUCUACAUGGAGAGAGAAGCCCAGCCAUCCCUGUUUCCCAGCUGAGUCCUGACCAGAUAACUCACUACAAGACUGACCACAGGCAAGAACAGCAGAAGAGCUGCCCAGCUGAGCCCAUCCAAGAGUGCAGAAUUUCAAGCAAGUAAAAUGACUAAUGUUAGAACUCAGAAUGAAGGGGCCUCAGGUUACCUGCAUCAUUCUGGUUUUUUGCUCCUGUUUUACUACGAAGCAAACACCUCGACUAUAAGCCGCCAUAGACCAGGGUCUGUGUCUCAUUCGUGUCUGGACAAUGCAUCACAGACACUCAACUGUUUUCUGCCUGAGCAGAAUUAAGACUUGGCCUCCUAACUCCUCCAUCACCAUCUUCUCCACUCUCUUCCUUGGCCUUCAUCACCAACACCACCUCAUCAACCGUGAAAGAUUCAAAGAGUAAGGAAAACCAUUUCUAGGACCAUGAAAUGUGUCACUGGAUCUCCUGCAGAAAUCUGCCAGAGCUACAAUGUGACUGGUUUCUACAUGUCUGACAAAUUUCUAUUUAAAUAAGUAUUUUUCAAAAUGCAAAUUGCUACCUAUUCUUUGGCCAUCAAAUCACUUUAGUGGGUUGCAACCGGCUUUUUCUUCUUAAUAGAAAAGGAAAUGUGUUGCAUUUGGUAAACAUGGAAAUUGUUUUAU